rnacentral:sRNA from 1 species
CCAAUUCCAUGAAGGACGCCUUUGAUGCAUUUCAAGAUCCCGACGUCAUGGCGGAAGCCGCUCAAAUGAUGAGGGACCCCGACUUUAAGAAAAACAUGGCCAACAUGGCAAAAGAUCCCGCCUUCAAAAACUACAUUGCUGCG